rnacentral:rRNA from 1 species
GAUGAACGCUGGCGGCGUGCCUAAUACAUGCCAGUCGAGCGAACGGACGAGAAGCUUGCUUCUCUGAUGUUAGCGGCGGACGGGUGAGUAACACGUGGAUAACCUACCUAUAAGACUGGGAUAACUUCGGGAAACCGGAGCUAAUACCGGAUGAUAUUUUGAACCGCAUGGUUCAAAAGUGAAAGACGGUCUUGCUGUCACUUAUAGAUGGAUCCGCGCUGCAUUAUCUAGUUGGUAAGGUAACGGCUUACCAAGGCAACGAUGCAUAGCCGACCUGAGAGGGUGAUCGGCCACACUGGAACUGAGACACGGUCCAGACUCCUACGGGAGGCAGCAGUAGGGAAUCUUCCGCAAUGGGCGAAAGCCUGACGGAGCAACGCCGCGUGAGUGAUGAAGGUCUUCGGAUCGUAAAACUCUGUUAUUAGGGAAGAACAUAUGUGUAAGUAACUGUGCACAUCUUGACGGUACCUAAUCAGAAAGCCACGGCUAACUACGUG